rnacentral:lncRNA from 1 species
CGUGGCGACGGGCAAGCACUCCGGCGAACCAUGCUGCAUGCUUCACACCCCGGCGACCUCUGUGGCGAACGGUGGUUGCGCGCCAAUCGGAGUAGCAUGUCGGUGGCGGAGCUUGUUCACCGGGCACGUGGUGUAAGGCACUCGCGCGGCAGCGGAGUGUGACUUGCAAUCGGGGGUGCACUCGCGCGGCGGCGGAGUGGGACAAGCAGGGGGGUGCACUCGCGCACGGCGGGAUUGGACCAGCAAGCGGGGGGUGCACUCGCGCGCGGCAGGGUUGGACCAGCGCGGCGGGGUUGGACCAGCGCGGCGGGGUUGGACCAGCAGGCGGGGGUGCACUCGCGUGCGACGGGGUUGGAUCACCAGGCCAAGGUGCACUCGCGUGCGGCGGGGCUGGACCAGCGGGCGAAGGUGCACUCGCGUGCGGCGGGGAUGGACCAGCAGGCGGGGGUGCACUCGCGCGCGGCGGGGCUGGACCAGCAGGCGGGGGUGCACUCGCGCGCGGCUGGGCGGGACCAGCAGGCGGGGGUGCACUCACGCGCGGCGGGGUUGUUCUAUCAUACACAAAUCUGACUCGCGCGGCAGAGACCCUGACACGCAUGUACAACUUAUCCUGCCAUGCGCGGGUGACGUGGUAGGUGUCGGUCGUGUGCCGGCUG